AGACCCGAAACCCGGUGAUCUAGCCAUGGGCAGGUUGAAGGUUGGGUAACACUAACUGGAGGACCGAACCGACUAAUGUUGAAAAAUUAGCGGAUGACCUGUGGCUGGGGGUGAAAGGCCAAUCAAACCGGGAGAUAGCUGGUUCUCCCCGAAAGCUAUUUAGGUAGCGCCUCGUGAAUUCAUCUCCGGGGGUAGAGCACUGUUUCGGCUAGGGGGCCAUCCCGGCUUACCAACCCGAUGCAAACUGCGAAUACCGGAGAAUGUUAUCACGGGAGACACACGGCGGGUGCUAACGUCCGUCGUGAAGAGGGAAACAACCCAGACCGCCAGCUAAGGUCCCAAAGUCAUGGUUAAGUGGGAAACGAUGUGGGAAGGCCCAGACAGCCAGGAUGUUGGCUUAGAAGCAGCCAUCAUUUAAAGAAAGCGUAAUAGCUCACUGGUCGAGUCGGCCUGCGCGGAAGAUGUAACGGGGCUAAACCAUGCACCGAAGCUGCGGCAGCGACACUGUGUGUUGUUGGGUAGGGGAGCGUUCUGUAAGCCUGUGAAGGUGGCCUGUGAGGGUUGCUGGAGGUAUCAGAAGUGCGAAUGCUGACAUAAGUAACGAUAAAGCGGGUGAAAAGCCCGCUCGCCGGAAGACCAAGGGUUCCUGUCCAACGUUAAUCGGGGCAGGGUGAGUCGACCCCUAAGGCGAGGCCGAAAGGCGUAGUCGAUGGGAAACGGGUUAAUAUUCCCGUACUUGGUGUUACUGCGAAGGGGGGACGGAGAAGGCUAUGUUGGCCGGGCGACGGUUGUCCCGGUUUAAGCGUGUAGGUGUGUGUUCCAGGUAAAUCCGGUUCACUUUAACACUGAGGCGUGACGACGAGGCACUACGGUGCUGAAGCAACAAAUGCCCUGCUUCCAGGAAAAGCCUCUAAGCAUCAGGUAACAUCAAAUCGUACCCCAAACCGACACAGGUGGUCAGGUAGAGAAUACCAAGGCGCUUGAGAGAACUCGGGUGAAGGAACUAGGCAAAAUGGUGCCGUAACUUCGGGAGAAGGCACGCUGACACGUAGGUGAAGUGAUUUACUCAUGGAGCUGAAGUCAGUCGAAGAUACCAGCUGGCUGCAACUGUUUAUUAAAAACACAGCACUGUGCAAACACGAAAGUGGACGUAUACGGUGUGACGCCUGCCCGGUGCCGGAAGGUUAAUUGAUGGGGUCAGCGCAAGCGAAGCUCCUGAUCGAAGCCCCGGUAAACGGCGGCCGUAACUAUAACGGUCCUAAGGUAGCGAAAUUCCUUGUCGGGUAAGUUCCGACCUGCACGAAUGGCGUAAUGAUGGCCAGGCUGUCUCCACCCGAGACUCAGUGAAAUUGAACUCGCUGUGAAGAUGCAGUGUACCCGCGGCAAGACGGAAAGACCCCGUGAACCUUUACUAUAGCUUGACACUGAACAUUGAGCCUUGAUGUGUAGGAUAGGUGGGAGGCUUUGAAGUGUGGACGCCAGUCUGC
rnacentral:rRNA from 1 species